AUGGACCUACGGGGCGCAGCAGUGAGGAAUAUUGGUCAAUGGACGAGAGUCUGAACCAGCCAAGUAGCGUGAAGGACGAAGGUGCCAAGCAUUGUAAACUUCUUUUGUCAAGGGACAAAAUCAGGCUCGAGAGCCUGACCGAGGGUACUUGAAGAAAAAGCAUCGGCUAACUCCGUGCCAGCAGCCGCGGUAAUACGGAGGAUGCGAGCGUUAUCCGGAUUUAUUGGGUUUAAAGGGUGCGUAGGCGGACUGUUAAGUCAGCGGUAAAAGCCCGGGGCUCAACCCCGGCGAGCCGUUGAAACUGG
rnacentral:rRNA from 1 species